CGGAGGAUCCAAGCGUUAUCCGGAAUCAUUGGGUUUAAAGGGUCCGUAGGCGGCUUGAUAAGUCAGUGGUGAAAGCCCAUCGCUCAACGAUGGAACGGCCAUUGAUACUGUCAGACUUGAAUUACUGGGAAGUAACUAGAAUAUGUAGUAUAGCGGUGAAAUGCUUAGAUAUUACAUGGAAUACCAAUUGCGAAGGCAGGUUACUACCAGUGGAUUGACGCUGAUGGACGAAAGCGUGGGGAGCGAACAGGAUUAGAUACCCUGGUAGUCCACGCCGUAAACGAUGGAUACUAGCUGUUCGGAGCAAUCUGAGUGGCUAAGCGAAAGUGAUAAGUAUCCCACCUGGGGAGUACGUUCGCAAGAAUG
rnacentral:rRNA from 1 species